GACGAACGCUGGCGGCGUGCUUAACACAUGCAAGUCGAACGGAAAGGCCCUGCUUUUGUGGGGUGCUCGAGUGGCGAACGGGUGAGUAACACGUGAGUAACCUGCCCUUGACUUUGGGAUAACUUCAGGAAACUGGGGCUAAUACCGGAUAGGAGCUCCUGCUGCAUGGUGGGGGUUGGAAAGUUUCGGCGGUUGGGGAUGGACUCGCGGCUUAUCAGCUUGUUGGUGGGGUAGUGGCUUACCAAGGCUUUGACGGGUAGCCGGCCUGAGAGGGUGACCGGCCACAUUGGGACUGAGAUACGGCCCAGACUCCCACGGGAGGCAGCAGUGGGGAAUAUUGCACAAUGGGCGGAAGCCUGAUGCAGCAACGCCGCGUGCGGGAUGACGACCUUCGGGUUGUAAACCGCUUUCGCCUGUGACGAAGCGUGAGUGACGGUAAUGGGUAAAGAAGCACCGGCUAACUACGUG
rnacentral:rRNA from 1 species